AUUGAACGCUGGCGGCAUGCCUAACACAUGCAAGUCGAACGCGUGGCGGACGGGUUAGUACUGUCCGGGAAACUGCCUGAUGGAGGGGGAUAUCUACUGGAAACGGUAGCUAAUAACGCAUACCAUCAGAUGUGUCCAGAUGGGAUUAGCUAGCUGGUGGGGUAACGGCUCACCAAGGCGACGAUCCGUAUCUGAUCUGAGAGGAUGACCAGCCACACUGGGACUGAGACACGGGCCAGACUCCUACGGGAGGCAGCAGUGGGGAAUAUUGCACAAUGGGCGCAACCCUGAUGCAGCCAUGCCGCGUGUAUGAAGAAGGCCUUCGGGUUGUAAAGUACUUUCAGCGGGGAGGCGUUACCCGCAGAAGAAGCACCGGCUAACUCCGUGCCAGCAGCCGCGGUAAUAC
rnacentral:rRNA from 1 species